CCAAAGGCUCUUUUAAGAGCCACCCACAUUAUUUUAAAAUGGCGU
rfam:Chlorocebus sabaeus isolate 1994-021 chromosome 17, whole genome shotgun sequence.